AACGAACGCUGGCGGCAGGCUUAACACAUGCAAGUCGAACGCCCCGCAAGGGGAGUGGCAGACGGGUGAGUAACGCGUGGGGAUGUGCCUUGAGGUGGGGAAUAACUGUGGGAAACUACAGCUAAUACCGCAUACGCCCUUUUGGGGAAAGAUUUAUCGCCUUUAGAGCAACCCGCGUCAGAUUAGCUAGUUGGUAGGGUAAUGGCCUACCAAGGCGACGAUCUGUAGCUGGUCUGAGAGGAUGACCAGCCACACUGGGACUGAGACACGGCCCAGACUCCUACGGGAGGCAGCAGUGGGGAAUAUUGGACAAUGGGCGCAAGCCUGAUCCAGCCACGCCGCGUGAGUGAUGACGGCCUUAGGGUUGUAAAGCUCUUUUAACAGGGACGAUAAUGACGGUACCUGUAGAAUAAGCCCCGGCAAACUUCGUGCCAGCCGCCGCCGUAACAC
rnacentral:rRNA from 1 species